UACUCGCUUGCUGUGCCUCCAUCCCCUCUCAUUUUUCUCUCUCCUCACUUUUCCCCCACCAAAAGAAAACCCUAACCCUAGAAACGGCGGCGUCCCAAUCGCCUCCCUCCUCAAUCGCUUCCCAUCGCCGGCCUUGCAUCGCCUCCCAUCGUCGAAUUUCUAGGGUUACAUUUCCUCGCCGCCGUCCCUCACCAAAUCGCGUCAAUUGUGCAGGCUGAGAUUCAAGUGAGGAAGAUUUACUGUAUCAACACUGCCGUAUCAACACGGCCGUAUUAACAUAGCUGUAUCAACACUGCCGAUUAAUAUUGAGGAUGCAGCCCGGAAGCGAUGCCGAGAUUGAAGAAGCUUUGAAGAAACAUGGAUGAUCAGAUAAACGAUUUUGCAAAUAUGGAUAGCAGGAAAACUGUCUUGCAAAGCAAGUGAAACAAUGUAUCGCCCAAGCCCCACUCCAAAAUUGAUCCAGAGGAUCAUUUCAUCGAUGUCAAGGAGAUCCGUUGCUGCCCAUCCUUGCAGGAGAGCUAAGAAAGAAGCCGUAGGGGGGACAACCUCAGACACCGUCGAUGAUGGAUCCAAGCAACCUGAUUUAAGUGAACUUUUUAGAGAUCUUUCUCCUGGAUGGCAGGCUUGGGAAUGAUGGAAUGGAAAGAAGGCAAUAUAUCUGGUGCAAGAGAACUGUACCAAAGAGCUCUAUCUGUUAACAACAGAAAGUGCAGCAUGCUGCCUUCAAGUAACAAUAUUUAAAACUGAUCUACAACAAAGGAUUAUGAAGUUAGAACUGAUCUGUAGCCAUACUUUCUGUACAACAAUUAACAAAGGAUUAUGAAGUUAGAUUAAAUGAAGUAUAUUCUAUCUCAAUGUAAAAUAGAAACUGGUGUAUGUUCUAUCUCAAUGAAGUAUUCUAUAGAGGGGUGGUGCAGGAAUGAGUAUGGUUGGGUUGGGAGGAGGUGGGGCAAAUGGUGUUCCUGUUGUAUUUCCUGCAUCUUUGUCAUCUGAUGUUCAUGGAAGGAGCAAUGGGGAUUCAUCUUCAGUUUCACCACCAGUUCGGUCCCGAGCACGAAAACAAGUUUUACUUAUUGUCCUCAUUUUCUUCUUUUGCUUUACUAUUUUGAAGUCUCCUAUGUUUUGCUUGCUUAGUUAUGUUUUUGUUUACUUAUGGUGUAUCUUUAAGCUUUAAAUGCAAGAUAUUCAUGUUAAGGCUGAUUGGUUAAACAUUGUACGGAGUAGUUUGCAAGUAUAUUGCAGUUAUCACAGGCCAACUUUGUAUUAUUAUUCUCUGAUUAAGAGAAGUUAACGGAAUUUUAAUUGAGUUACUAAUAGAUUUUGAUUA